rnacentral:misc_RNA from 2 species
AACGCACAUUGCGCCCCUUGGUAUUCCGAGGGGCAUGCCUGUUCGAGCGUCAUUUCACCAAUCAAGCUAUGCUUGGUAUUGGGCGUCCGGCCCCGCCUCGCGCGGCGGCCGCGCCCCAAACCCUUCGGCGAAGUCUCACCGGCUUUGGGCGUAGUAGAAUUCUUUCAAGAACGUCCUACGAGCCCGGCGGGCCUUUUGCCGUCAGACCACCAAACUUUUUUUUACAGGUUGACCUCGGAUCAGGUAGGGAUACCCGCUGAACUUAA